rnacentral:rRNA from 1 species
AGCGAACGCUGGCGGCAGGUUUAACACAUGCAAGUCGAGCGCCCCGCAAGGGGAGCGGCAGACGGGUGAGUAAAACUUGGGGAUCUGCCCGAGGGUACGGAAUAACUCAGGGAAACUUGUGCUAAUACCGUAUGUGCCCGCAAGGGGAAAGAUUUAUCGCCAUCGGAUGAACCCGCGUCAGUUUAGCUAGUUGGUGGGGUAAAGGCGCACCAAGGCGACGAUCUGUAGCUGGUCGGAGAGGAUGAUCAGCCACACUGGGACUAAGACACGGCCCAGCCUCCCACGGGGGUCAGCAGUGCGGAAUAUUGGACAAUGGGCGCAAGCCUGAUCCAGCCAUGCCGCGUGAGUGAUGAAGGCCUUAGGGUUGUAAAGCUCUUUCGCCGACGAAGAUAAUGACGGUAGUCGGAGAAGAAGCCCCGGCUAACUUCGUGCCAGCCGCCGCAGUAAAAC